AUUGAACGCUGGCGGCAGGCCUAACACAUGCAAGUCGAACGGUAACAGGAAGCAGCUUGCUGCUUCGCUGACGAGUGGCGGACGGGUGAGUAAUGUCUGGGAAACUGCCUGAUGGAGGGGGAUAACUACUGGAAACGGUAGCUAAUACCGCAUAACGUCGCAAGACCAAAGAGGGGGACCUUAGGGCCUCUUGUCAUCGGAUGUGCCCAGAUGGGAUUAGCUAGUAGGUGGGGUAACGGCUCACCUAGGCGACGAUCCCUAGCUGGUCUGAGAGGAUGACCAGCCACACUGGAACUGAGACACGGUCCAGACUCCUACGGGAGGCAGCAGUGGGGAAUAUUGCACAAUGGGCGCAAGCCUGAUGCAGCCAUGCCGCGUGUAUGAAGAAGGCCUUCGGGUUGUAAAGUACUUUCAGCGGGGAGGAAGGGAGUAAAGUUAAUACCUUUGCUCAUUGACGUUACCCGCAGAAGAAGCACCGGCUAACUCCGUG
rnacentral:rRNA from 1 species